AAACAUACCUGGAAGGGGAGACACCAUAAUCUAGAAGGUAAUCUUUCCCAGGGUGAGGCUCAACCAUGACCCUUGGGUUGUGCUGACCCCUUCUAUUUCCCCAAGCAUGGGAAAUUUCACUAUAGAGUUUAUGAUAAUGGAGGACUGUUUAUACUCUUCUCUA